rnacentral:tRNA from 1 species
GCCGCCGUGGCUCAGUUGGUAGAGCGACAGCCUGUUAAGUUGUUGGUCGGAGGUUCGAGCCCUCCCGGCGGCG